rnacentral:rRNA from 1 species
GACAGAGGGUGCAAACGUUGUUCGGAAUUACUGGGCGUAAAGCGCGUGUAGGCGGCUACCUAAGUCUGGUGUGAAAGCCCGAGGCUCACCCUCGGAAGCGCACUGGAAACUGGGUGGCUAGAGUACCGGAGAGGAGGGUGGAAUUCCUGGUGUAGCGGUGAAAUGCGUAGAUAUCAGGAAGAACACCGGUGGCGAAGGCGGCCCUCUGGACGGAUACUGACGCUGAGACGCGAAAGCGUGGGGAGCAAACAGG